CUCCCCCCCGAGAAAACCUAGCCGUCGACGACAACUCAAUUUUUUCGUCGAACCCGAUGCCAACGAGCAGUCAGCAAUUCGAAGCCCCCUCAGCGCGCUGGCUGGUCAGAGCAGAUGCCUCGUCCGCUGUGUUCCACCGAGAGCCCAGAUCCGAAGGCGUCCGCUGCAUUCCGUCGAGAGCCACUCGAUCUGUCUAGUUCCGCUACGAACCGUUCGUAGGCCGCCAACCCAGCCAUCGAUCUCCGUCGGUCACUGCCUCCAUUCACUGCCGUUUGUCGGAUUUUGGCUUGUGGUGAAGUUUUGGAUUCAAGCAUUGAAGAAAUUGUAAGGUCGAAGUGUUGUCAGGCAUUGCGUAGGAUUAAGUUGGGUUUGCAAAUGGAUUUGAGUUUGAAACUAAUUUUGGACCAAGCAACAUUUUGAUUAAGGCAUUUAUUUGAGAGACUGAAGACAAUUUGGAACAAACUACACUUUGAGCUUUAGAUUCAAGUUUUGGAGAAGUUUUGAAUUUAGACGUGAA